rnacentral:rRNA from 1 species
AUACGGAGGAUCCGAGCGUUAUCCGGAUUUAUUGGGUUUAAAGGGUGCGCAGGCGGCCAUUUAAGUCAGCGGUUAAAUCGUGGGGCUCAACCCCAUUCUGCCGUUGAUACUGGGUGGCUUGGUUGCGGUCGAGGUUGGCGGAAUUCGUUGUGUAGCGGUGAAAUGCAUAGAUAUGACGAAGAACACCGAUUGCGUAGGCAGCUGACCAGACCGCAAAUGACGCUCAUGCACGAAAGUGCGGGGAUCGAACAGGAUUAGAUACCCUGGUAGUCCGCACAGUAAACGAUGAAUACUUGUUUUCGGCGAUAUAAUGUCGGAGGCAAAGCGAAAGCGAUAAGUAUUCCACCUGGGGAGUACGCCGGCAACGGUGAAACUCAAAUGAAUUGGCGGGG